ensembl:snRNA U6 U6 spliceosomal RNA
GUCCUCACUUUGGCAGCAUAUAUGCUAAAAGUGGAAUGAUACAGAGCAGAUUAACAUGCCCCCUGCACAAGAAUGACAUGCAAAUUCAUGAAGUGUUCAAUAUUAAA